rnacentral:lncRNA from 1 species
UGGUAGGGACGAAUUAAAGGGAUAAUUGACAACACAGAGGCAGAUAAUAUUCCCUGAGAUACAAAUAUACAAAUUAUUACCCUAAUGAUAGAAUGGCAAGACGAUAAAGAAAAUAUACAAUACUAGUUUUAAAGGAAAUACAAUAUAUGCUAUUUUAUAAGUCUAUGAUAUUCCAAAGGAUGCAGGUGGUCCAAUGGGUGGAAUCUAAUUGUUGA